CAGGGAGUAGUUUAAAAAGAAUUCCAGCUUUGGGAGUUGGAGGUAGGAUGUAAAAUCUUCUCCUUGA
rnacentral:tRNA from 1 species